rnacentral:tRNA from 1 species
GGCGGUAUAGCGAAGAGGAAACGCAAUAGGUUGCAACCCUAUAAUCGCUGGUUCAAAUCCAGCUACCGCCU